rnacentral:rRNA from 1 species
UACGUAGGGGGCAAGCGUUGUCCGGAAUUAUUGGGCGUAAAGCGCGCGUAGGCGGCCAAGUAAGUCUUACGUGGAAUCCUGAGGCUCAACCUCAGGCCUGCGCGGGAUACUGCUUGGCUAGAGUCCGGAAGAGGAGAGUGGAAUUCCUGGUGUAGCGGUGGAAUGCGCAGAUAUCAGGAGGAACAUCCGUGGCGAAGGCGGCUCUCUGGGACGGUACUGACGCUGAGACGCGAAAGCGUGGGGAGCGAACAGG